rnacentral:rRNA from 1 species
GAUGGAACGCUAGCGACAGGCUUAACACAUGCAAGUCGAGGGGCAGCACGGUGUAGGAAUACACUGGUGCCGACCGACGCACGGGUGAGUAACAGGUAUCCAACCUGCCCUUUACUCGGGGAUAGCCUUUCGAAAGAAAGAUUAAUACCCGAUAGUAUAAUGAUUCCGCAUGGUUUCAUUAUUAAAGGAUUCCGGUAAAGGAUGGGGAUGCGUUCCAUUAGGUUGUUGGUGAGGUAACGGCUCACCAAGCCUUCGAUGGAUAGGGGUUCUGAGAGGAAGGUCCCCCACAUUGGAACUGAGACACGGUCCAAACUCCUACGGGAGGCAGCAGUGAGGAAUAUUGGUCAAUGUGCGCUAGCCUGAACCAGCCAAGUAGCGUGAAGGAUGAAGGCUCUAUGGGUCGUAAACUUCUUUUAUAUAAGAAUAAAGUGCAGUAUGUAUACUGUUUUGUAUGUAUUAUAUGAAUAAGGAUCGGCUAACUCCGUGCCAGCAGCCGCGGUAAUACGGAGGAUCCGAGCGUUAUCCGGAUUUAUUGGGUUUAAAGGGAGCGUAGGUGGACUGGUAAGUCAGUUGUGAAAGUUUGCGGCUCAACCGUAAAAUUGCAGUUGAUACUGUCAGCCUUGAGUACAGUAGAGGUGGGCGGAAUUCGUGGUGUAGCGGUGAAAUGCUUAGAUAUCACGAAGAACUCCGAAAGGAAGGCAGCUCACUGGACUGCAACUACACUNGACCCUAAUAGGUGUGGGUAUCAAACAGG